rnacentral:rRNA from 1 species
AAUCCUGAAUUCGAAAGGGAUCGGAUUCAAGUCCUACCCAGAGAACGGGGCGCCCCCGGGGGAUGUUGCCGGUCGCCCGCUAGCGAUUCAGUUGGCUUGCGGUGUCGUUCCCGGCGAUGACUUUGAGCGGGCGCAUACCCGGCUCGGGAGGGGUGCACUUCCUCCCUAGUAGAAACGUCGGGACCCGUUGGGUGUCGGUCUAAGGCCCGGGAUGGCAGACCGCGCGUUCCGCGAGGGCUCUCGCGGGUGCGCGGACUCCUGGUGACCCGGCCGGCUGCCCGACGGUAUGACCAGAGGAGUCGAUCCGCUGAAUGGGAAACACUUUGGUUUGUGUAGCGUCCGGCCCGGCGCCGGGGCGUGCGGGGAAUGAGGUGUAAACCGGGGGUGCCCGUGCUGAGCACGGCCCCGGCCCCGCGGCGUCUCCGGAAUGUUCGGUGUCCUCGGACGGGAUCAGCACUCCCGUCCCCGACGACCACCUUCGGAUGGUCUCCCG